CCCACCUUAAAUUUUGAACCUCACAGCAACAUGCUCAGAACUCAAAAUCAGCAAAUUCCAAAAAAAAAAAGAAAAGAAAAAAAGAAUUGGUUUUGGUUGCAAAAUGACUUUCUGAGUUACAAAUUAUUACAUAAAUCAAUGAUGGGUGAGUUUGAAAUGUGCAAUGAGGCAUGCGAUCUUCUUCUUUUUUUCUUCUUGUGAAAUUGGGAUUAUGAAAGAAUAUUUUAGCCUAGCAAUG
rnacentral:lncRNA from 1 species